rnacentral:lncRNA from 1 species
CAGUCACCCGCAAUCCCCUGCAUCGCACAACGUGCCCCCGGCUCUGCGGGGUGCAGGCCCCUCUGGUCUCCAGGCUGAGCCGUGCCAGGCAGGGGAUCUCCAGGCAGGGCAACCGGGACUCCAGCUCCUCUCUGGAAGCCAGCGACAAAGAAUCCAGCAAAGGAUCCAGCAGGGGUAAGUGCUGGGGGGUCCAGCCCCCCUGGGAUCGGCUGUGGUCACGGAGACCUCUAUGGGGAGACGCUUUCC